UAGCGGAGGGUGCAAGCGUUAUCCGGAUUCACUGGGUUUAAAGGGAGCGUAGGUGGGAAUGUAAGUUCAGUGGUGAAAUCUCCGUGCCUUAACAUGGAAACUGCCAUUGAUACUAUGUUCUUGAAUUUUCUGGAGGUCAGCGGAAUAUGUCAUGUAGCGGUGAAAUGCUUAGAUAUGACAUAGAACACCGAUUGCGAAGGCAGCUGGCUACAGGGAUAUUGACACUGAGGCUCGAAAGCGUGGGGAUCAAACAGG
rnacentral:rRNA from 1 species